AACGAACGCUGGCGGCAGGCCUAACACAUGCAAGUCGAGCGCCCUUUCGGGGGAGCGGCGGACGGGUGGGUAACGCGUGGGAAUAUGCCCUUCUCUACGGAAUAGCCUCGGGAAACUGAGAGUAAUACCGUAUACGCCCUUUGGGGGAAAGAUUUAUCGGGGAAGGAUUAGCCCGCGUUGGAUUAGGUAGUUGGUGGGGUAAUGGCCUACCAAGCCGACGAUCCAUAGCUGGUUUGAGAGGAUGAUCAGCCACACUGGGACUGAGACACGGCCCAGACUCCUACGGGAGGCAGCAGUGGGGAAUCUUAGACAAUGGGGGCAACCCUGAUCUAGCCAUGCCGCGUGAGUGAUGAAGGCCUUAGGGUUGUAAAGCUCUUUCAGCUGGGAAGAUAAUGACGGUACCAGCAGAAGAAGCCCCGGCUAACUCCGUG
rnacentral:rRNA from 1 species